rnacentral:tRNA from 1 species
GCCCGGGUGGCUCAGUCGGUUGAGCGUCUGACUUUGGCUCAGGUCGUGAUCUCACAGUUUGUGAGUUCGAGCCCCGCAUCAGGCU